UAGGGAAUCUUCGGCAAUGGGGGGAACCCUGACCGAGCAACGCCGCGUGAGUGGAGAAGGUUUUCGGAUCGUAAAGCUCUGUUGUAAGAGAAGAACGGGUGUGAGAGUGGAAAGUUCACACUGUGACGGUAUCUUACCAGAAAGGGACGGCUAACUACGUGCCAGCAGCCGCGGUAAUACGUAGGUCCCGAGCGUUGUCCGGAUUUAUUGGGCGUAAAGCGAGCGCAGGCGGUUAGAUAAGUCUGAAGUUAAAGGCUGUGGCUUAACCAUAGUAUGCUUUGGAAACUGUUUAACUUGAGUGCAGAAGGGGAGAGUGGAAUUCCAUGUGUAGCGGUGAAAUGCGUAGAUAUAUGGAGGAACACCGGUGGCGAAAGCGGCUCUCUGGUCUGUAACUGACGCUGAGGCUCGAAAGCGUGGGGAGCAAACAGGAUUAGAUACCCUGGUAGUCCACGCCGUAAACGAUGAGUGCUAGGUGUUAGGCCCUUUCCGGGGCUUAGUGCCGCAGCUAACGCAUUAAGCACUCCGCCUGGGGAGUACGACCGCAAGGUUG
rnacentral:rRNA from 1 species